GACGAACGCUGGCGGCGUGCCUAAUACAUGCAAGUAGAACGCUGAAGGAGGAGCUUGCUCUUCUGGAUGAGUUGCGAACGGGUGAGUAACGCGUAGGUAACCUGCCUGGUAGCGGGAGAUAACUAUUGGAAACGAUAGCUAAUACCGCAUAACAGUAGAUGUUGCAUGACAUUUGCUUAAAAGGUGCAAUUGCAUCACUACCAGAUGGACCUGCGUUGUAUUAGCUAGUUGGUGGGGUAACGGCUCACCAAGGCGACGAUACAUAGCCGACCUGAGAGGGUGAUCGGCCACACUGGGACUGAGACACGGCCCAGACUCCUACGGGAGGCAGCAGUAGGGAAUCUUCGGCAAUGGACGGAAGUCUGACCGAGCAACGCCGCGUGAGUGAAGAAGGUUUUCGGAUCGUAAAGCUCUGUUGUAAGAGAAGAACGAGUGUGAGAGUGGGAAGUUCACACUGUGACGGUAUCUUACCAGAAAGGGACGGCUAACUACGUGCCAGCAGCCGCCGUAA
rnacentral:rRNA from 1 species